rnacentral:rRNA from 1 species
CAAGACAACUUUACGGAGUUGACGAUUGACGGAGCGAAGCGACGUCAAAGCGUUCAUUAAAGUCGAGUUGGCUUAGGGAUACGUUCGUUGGGUAGGGGAGCGUUCUGUAAGCCUGCGAAGGUGGCCUGUGAGGGUUGCUGGAGGUAUCAGAAGUGCGAAUGCUGACAUAAGUAACGAUAAUGCGGGUGAAAAACCCGCACGCCGGAAGACCAAGGGUUCCUGUCCAACGUUAAUCGGGGCAGGGUGAGUCGACCCCUAAGGCGAGGCCGAAAGGCGUAGUCGAUGGGAAACAGGUUAAUAUUCC